AGAUUGAACGCUGGCGGCAGGCCUAACACAUGCAAGUCGAGCGGUAGAGAGGUGCUUGCAUCUCUUGAGAGCGGCGGACGGGUGAGUAAUGCCUAGGAAUCUGCCUAGUGGUGGGGGAUAACGUUCGGAAACGGACGCUAAUACCGCAUACGUCCUACGGGAGAAAGCGGGGGACCUUCGGGCCUCGCGCCAUUAGAUGAGCCUAGGUCGGAUUAGCUAGUUGGUGAGGUAAUGGCUCACCAAGGCGACGAUCCGUAACUGGUCUGAGAGGAUGAUCAGUCACACUGGAACUGAGACACGGUCCAGACUCCUACGGGAGCAGCAGGUGGGAAUUUGGACAAUGGGGGAAACCCUGA
rnacentral:rRNA from 1 species